rnacentral:lncRNA from 1 species
ACCACGCCAAACGCCGAGUUGCCCCGGGUAGCGUUAAUAAGCUGCUGUGUUUUGGACCAACACUCAUGAGGAGCACUGGCCCGGGGGUUGAUUAAAAUAGUCCGCGGGUGCCGGCGGGUCCCUAUGCAAUUUUAUUAGGUGAUUAGGCAAAUGUAGUACCAAUGUUGGGCCUUGCCAGACCAGCUUUAAUCUAAAACGAAUUAUCAAGGGGGUCCCCAUAACAACCCCGAUCGUGUUAGGAGCGCUCGAUUAUGGAACAUAACACCGGUAGCCGGUAACUAAAGGGGGCAAAGGUGGAACAAAACACCAGGCUAGAAAGGCCGAGCCUUCCACCUUUUACCAAGUAUAUAGGUGCAUUAAAU